rnacentral:rRNA from 1 species
GGUCAAGCUACAAAGGGUUCAUGGUGAAUGACUUGGUCAAACAGCGCGAUGAAGGACGUGGUAAGCAGCGAUAUGCUUCGGGUAGCCGCAAACAGGCUUUGAUCCGGAGAUUUCCGAAUGGGGGAACCCGGUCCCGUUAAUACGGGAUCAUCAUGUGAUGAAUACAUAGUUACAUGGAGCAAUACUGGGUGAAGUAAACCAUUUCAGUAGCCCAAGGAAAAGAAAGAGAAAUCGAUUUCCCCAGUAGCGGCGAGCGAAAAGGAAACAGCCUAAAUCCUGAUGGCGUGAUAGUCUGUAUGCGUUUUCAUCAGGUGGUUGCGGGGUUUAGUUGGAGGUAGAUACAGAUACCUCGUCUCAGAUGAUUGUAAUAAUCGAAUGACAUGGAAAGGUCAGCCAUAGAAGGUGAAAGCCCUUUAGGUGAAAUUAUAGUCAUUUUAGAUGGACUGAAUACCCAAGUAUCACGGGACACGUGAAAUCCUGUGAGAAUCUGCUCCGACCACGGAGUAAGGCUAAAUACUAGUUUGGACCGAUAGUGUACAAGUACCGUGAGGGAAAGUUGAAAAGAACCCUUUUUAAGGGAGUGAAAUAGAACCUGAAACCAUGAACUUACAAGCGGUCGAAGUCCCGACUCGUUCGGGAUGACGGCGUACCUUUUGCAUAAUGGACCGACAAGUUACUGUGCAGUGCAAGCUUAAUCCGUUUUCACGGAGGAGGCGUAGCGAAAGCGAGUCUUAAUUGGGCGUCUUAGUACUGCAUAGUAGACCCGAAGCUGAGUGAUCUACCCAUGGUCAGGGUGAAGUCUCGAGAAAUCGAGAUGGAGGCCCGAACUCGUGGACGUUGAAAAGUCUUGGGAUGAACUGUGGGUUGGAGUGAAAGGCUAAUCAAACUCAGUGAUAGCUGGUUCUCCCCGAAAUAGCUUUAGGGCUAGCCUUAUAAAAUGGAUAAUGGUGGUAGAGUACUGAAUGGGCUAGGGACGAUAACCUCGUUGCCAAACCCAACCAAACUGCGAAUACCAUUACACCUUAUUAUAGGAGUCAGACUUGAGGGGAUAAGCUCUCUAGUCGAAAGGGAAACAGCCCAGAUCGCCGGUUAAGGUCCCUAAGGAUAAGCUAAGUGGUAAAGGAUGUGAAAUCGCUCUGACAACCAGGAUGUUGGCUCAGAGGCAGCCAUCAUUUAAAGAGUGCGUAACAGCUCACUGGUCGAUGCGAUUUUGCGCCUAAAAUGAUCGGGGCUUAAGCUUAUUACCGAAACCGCGAAUCUUUGUCAUCUUUGGAUGACGGGGGUGGUAGGGGAGCAUUCCGUUAUAGGUUGAAGGUCUUUCGUAAGGAAGGCUCGACUUUUCGGAAGAGACAAUGUCGGUAUGAGUAGCGAAAAUGUCCGCGAGAAACGGACACGCCGAAAAUCCAAGGUUUCCUGGGGAAGGUUAAUCCGCCCAGGGUUAGUCGAUCCUAAGCCGAGGCAAUAAUAGCGUAGGCGAUGGAUAAUCCGUUAAUAUUCGGAUACCAGGUAAGUGGUGCUUUACUUAAGAUGUGACACAGACAGCUAGGUUGUGCCCAGUGUUGGAUGUCUGGGUUUAAGCCUGCAGGCCCGCAAGGGUUGGCAGGUUAUGGGGACCCUUUUCUACGGAUCAGGGGAAGCAACCGAUGCUUUGCUGUCAAGAAAAACCAUUUUAAGAAAUCAUUUAUCUGUUCGUACCGUAAUCCGACACAGGUAGAUACCCAGAAUAUGGGAAGGCGAUCGAGAUAACUCUCGUUAAGGAACUCGGCAAUCUAGCCCCGUAACUUCGGAAGAAGGGGUGCCCCGCUUUUAGUGGGGUCACAGUAAAGAAGCCCGUGUGACUGUUUAGUAAAAACACAGGUCUCUGCAAAGUCGAAAGACAAAGUAUAGGGACUGAUACCUGCCCGGUGCUGGAAGGUUAAGGGAAGAGAUUAUUCUGAACUUGUUCAGGAGAAGUUUUGAACCGAAGCCCCAGUAAACGGCGGCCGUAAAUACGUAUUACGUUGUGCGUACUGCGCACGGCGUUAAAAAAUGUUGCGGCUUCAGGAAGUAAUUCCUGAAAUAAAUCUGGCUGUAUGCGGGAACAUCCGUGUAUCUCAAAGUACCAAAAGGUAAAAAUCUUUGAGUGCGGAAAAUCCGCAGGGAAGUCGUAAUUGACCCCUCAGAGAUCACACGCCAGCUCCUAAUAAAUGUUAGGAUGAAGAUAUGAUCCACGCCUUAUGGCGACAUAGGGAGAACGUGAACUAUAACGGUCCUAAGGUUGACGUAACAACGCUAGCCUGCUCCGAAAAAUAUCGGAGAAUAAUUACCAACUAUAUGCAGGAAACUCCUCAAAAAGUGUUGAUACUAGCUCGACUAUUGAGUCGGAGCAGUAAAAAUGCAACAUUCAAGGGGAAAAUCCGCAGGGAAGUCUGAAAGGAGAAAAUAUGACCCCUCAGAGACCAAACGUUGGAAAUCGUGGCAGAGUUUCGAGAUUGACUGAUGAAUGGAUUUCGGGUUUUAUCGAUGGGGAAGGAUGUUUCCAUAUCGGAAUCAGUAAACAUAAUGAUUUACGAAUAGGAUAUCAAAUCCUCCCAGAGCUAACCGUAGUUCAACACAAGCGCGAUUUAGAUUUACUUCAUGAAUUGCGUUCAACGAUGAAUUGCGGGGUAGUGCGAAGAAACCACGGAGAUCGAUUCUGUUGGAGAGUAAGAAAUUUGCAAAAUCUCUCAGAAGUGAUAAUUCCGUUUUUUGAUAAACAUCCGUUAAGAUCAAAAAAAUAUGUAGAUUUUUUGAAAUUCAGAAAAGUGGUUAUGAAGAUGCAAAAAGGGGAACAUCUUACAAAGGAUGGUUUCCAGCAAAUAGUAAAAAUUGCAUCAAAAAUGAAUCGCUGUCAAUCAAAAAUGAAGCCAGAUUUAAGAGAGAGUCCACUCCAGGAUGAAAAUUCUGGGUAAUAGUGAGCGAAAUUCCUUGUGGGGUAAGUUCCCACGCGCACGAAUGGUGUACCAACAUGGGCGCUGUCUCGACGAGAGACUCGGUGAAAUUGUAGUGGCGGUGAAGAUGCCGCCUACCCGCAGCAAGACGAAAAGACCCCGGAACUUUUACUGUAUCCUGGUAUUGAAUUUUGGUCCGAUAUGUGUAGUAUAGGUGGGAGGCUUUGAGGCCCGGCCGCUAGGUUGGGCAGAGCCAUCAGUGAAAUACCACCCUUAUUUUCCUAAAAUUCUAACCCCUUAGCUUUAAUCAGCUAGGGAAACAGUGCCAGGUGGGCAGUUUAACUGGGGCGGUUUCCUCCUAAAAUGUAACGGCGGAGCCCAAAGGUUCCCUCAAGGCGGUCGGCAAUCGCCUGUUGAGUGUAAGGGCAUAAGGGAGCUUAACUGCAAUUCCGACAGGAAGCGCAGGUACGAAAGUAGGGCUUAGUGAUCCGGUGGUAGAAAGUGGGAUUGCCAUCGCUCAACGGAUAAAAAGUACUCCGGGGAUAACAGGCUUAUCGCGCUCGAGAGUUCAUAUCGACAGCGCGGAUUGGCACCUCGAUGUCGGCUCAUCCUAUCCUGGGGCUGUAUAAGGUCCCAAGGGUCCGGCUGUUCGCCGGUUAAAAGGGUACGCGAGCUGGGUUUAGAACGUCGCAAGACAGUUCGGUCUCUAUCUGCUGUGGGCGUAAGGAUACUUGAAGGGAAGCUCUCCCUAGUACGAGAGGACCGGGAGAGACGGACCGCUGGUGUACCAGUUGUCCUGCCAAGGGCAAGUGCUGGGUAGCCAUGUUCGGAAAGGAUAAGCGCUGAAGGCAUCUAAGUGCCAAGCCCCUCUCAAGAAUAGGUAUCCCUUCCCGAGCAAUCGGGAUGAAGGCAGGCUGUAGACUACAGCCUUGAUAGGCUCUGUGUGUAAGAUCUGUAAGGAUUUUAGCUGAAGAGUACUAAUAGCCAAUCGGCUUGACCAC